rnacentral:rRNA from 1 species
UACGAAGGGGGCUAGCGUUGUUCGGAUUUACUGGGCGUAAAGCGUGCGCAGGCGGUGAUGUAAGACAGAUGUGAAAUCCCCGGGCUCAACCUGGGAACUGCAUUUGUGACUGCAUCGCUGGAGUGCGGCAGAGGGGGAUGGAAUUCCGCGUGUAGCAGUGAAAUGCGUAGAUAUGCGGAGGAACACCGAUGGCGAAGGCAAUCCCCUGGGCCUGCACUGACGCUCAUGCACGAAAGCGUGGGGAGCAAACAGG